rnacentral:lncRNA from 10 species
AACAUUUGUGACCAGCCUAGGCGACAUAGUGAGACCUGUCUCUACAAAAAAUAUAUAAUUAGCUGGGCGUGGUGGCGCGCGCCUGUGGUCCAAGCUUCUCCGGAGGCUGAGGUCGGGGGAUCGCCUGAGCCCUGGAGGUCGUUGCUGCAUUGAGCCGUGAACGCACCACUGCAUUCCAGCCUGGGCAACAGAGCGAACUCUAUCUCAAAACAAAACAAAACAAAACAAGAAAAAGAAAAAAAGAAGAAAAUUAAAAAAAAAAAGAAAGAAAAAGAACGUCCCAGGUCUGUUGAAGCACUAAGAAAAGCAGAAAAAGAAAGGGGAGCCAGGGAAGGGCUGGCAGGCUGUGCAAUUUAAGGGAGCACCAGAAAAACUGGCAAUCAAAUAAUAUAUUAAUGUAAUAUUUUAAAAAGUAAAAAUUAAUGCAGGAAAUCCGGGAGGAACAAAAUAAGAGUCAUGUGUACCUUAACAACAGGGUAAGGUCUGAGGAUUGCGUCAUUAGGCGAUUUUGUUGCUGUACGAACACCACAGAAUGUACUUUGACGACCUAGAUGGUGGAGCCUGGACACACCUCGGCUCUGUGGUGUGGCCUGCUGCUUCCAGGCUGCAAACCUGACAGCAUGGGGCUGUACUGAAUACCGCAGACCAUUGUAAUUCAUGAGAGAAACCAAUCAGCUUCAUUUUCAACUUCUUCUAUGACUCCAGAGGAUUCACUUUGCAUCUUGUGACAAAUGAAUAUAUUACCUGAAAAAAAAAUGACAGGAUAGAUAUUGAAGAAAUAAUUUUUUAUAGGACUCUGGAGUGAAGGGAUUAAUAUUGACCAGAGCCAAUGAGGUCAUCUCAUCCUUGAGGGGAGCAGGUGUGAGCUUCAAAUGCUUAGGGCCUCUGGAAGGAAGCUUCCCUGUUGGAGAAAUCACCAACCGGCUCAGCAUGGUCUGAAUGAGGAUGACAAAAGGAGUUGCUGCACAGGGGGAAAGCGAAGUUCCCAGGAGUAAGAUGUGCAAGAAGCGGGCAGCCUUGCAUCUCAGGGCUGAGUUCCCUCAACUGUGUGCUUGAGGGAAGUUCUCCCCUUGCAGACACACUGCUGAGUGAUAAGGAAGCACCUAGACUCCACUCUGACCAGACUUGGUUCUGAGGCCUAUGAAAUGUUGAUGGGAAGAACAGAAGCAGGAAAAUCUAUCUAUUCAAAUUUGCAAGACGUGGAAACUUUUAUUCACCUUCCUGGUUAGACUGUUCCUUUGUCAAAGUAAAGCUAAGGCCAUGGAAAAUGAGCUAUUUGAGAGUUUGUCGCUCCAAGGAAGAACAUGCUGGCCUAAUUGUCCCCCAAGUCAGGAGAGAGAAUUGUAAAAAACACUUAAACAGGCCUAAGUAAAGGUCCAGCACAUUAUUUAUUUAAGACUGAAUUAGAACUGAGUCAUUCCGACUCUGAAAAAAGAGUGUUGUUGGAUUCUUAUGUAUUUAAUGGGUCUGCCCUAUUGAAAACCAUUGUGAAGUAUGGUUUCCCAAGCAAGAAAUGACACUUUCACUGUCAGUCUUUCUAGGAGUCUGGCAGAAUCCAGGACCGGGAUUACCCUUAUUUAUGAAGCGACCUUAGACUAACAGUGGCUCUCUGGGUCUCCAGACAAUUGGCCAGGGACUCUAAAAACCAGAAACAAAGUUGAGAGAACUCCAUGCUGGUGGAGAAAAACAGCUGGCCUUUAUCACCAGAAUGUGCCCCAUAGAAGCAGCAAAGCAGCAAGCGACGUUCUUAAACAAGGGCCUGUGGGCCUCGUCAAGAUCUGGAGGAAUCAUCUACGACUCACUGCUGAGUGAGAGGGCUAGGCAGUGUCUUUAAGGUCCUGCCAGCUUUAA